GUCAAAGCAGGAUGUUUAUUGCAAAUAACCACAUUGCUGGCGGUUAAGACGUACGUUUCCCAAAUCAAAAGAAAAAAAAAAAAAAACCAUUGCGCCAUGAAUCGUGCGUGUCUCUAUUUCGAUUUGUCCCGUAUUUUAUAUACAAAUAGCUCACCGAGUGUCUGACGUAGUGGAUGCAAAACAGGGACGAUGAUCGAAAAACGCCAGCUGGCGUUGUAACAUUUUCGGCUCCGUUCGUGUAAUUGGCGAAUGCCAACAACACCAUCGUCUAUACUUAAAAUGUACCGCCGCUUUGUUAGACAUCGACGAAGUGCAUCGUUUGAAACGUUGCAUGAGAAUAAGGACCACAACACAUCAACAAAAAAAACGAUUGGUGAACGCUGCUGUUCUUUUGGGCUUUUUGCCAAACGAGCGCUAAAGAAAAAAGAACUUGUCAGCUCGGCUUUUUUUUUGUGUGUGUGGUGUUCCAGCAACUGAAAACAGAAAAUGCUAUUUCCAGCAGUUGCCCAGAACCCCGAUCUAUUUACUGUGACUUGUUUAGAUGAAGGAAAAAAAACUAACUAACUGAAAAAAAUAAAAUAAAAAAGUAAGAAGAAGAUGGAGAGGAAACAAGAUCAAGGUGGACUCUGUGUUUCCGGUGUAGUGCAUUUGACGAAGAAAUAUAAAAACAUCUCCGCCCAUCUUCGAGUUAGGCGGUCUUUUGAUCUUUGUCUCCGACACGAUCGUUACUGCGCGGGUGUGUUUAACACUUUGUGAAUGGAUCGCCAGUUGCCGCAUAAUAGAUGAGUCAUGCCUAACGUGAAUCGUAGGCGGAUUCAGCUGGCUGCCAUUUAUCUAUAACCCUUCUUUGUGACUGGAGUUUUUUUGGGGUUUUUUUUUACGAGUCUUAAUUGAUGAUGAAGGAUUCUCUUACAGCAGGGCGGUACUGCGAACUCGUAGAAAUGGAUUGCCAACUGCUUGCGUAGCACAUCAUUCAUUACACGUUGGCAGUUGUUUCCGCGUUCAAUUUUUUUCUUGUUGUCGUGAGUCCCGAUUCCGCGUUCCGUGAAAGCUUGUCAACCUGUAAAAAAAAAUUUUUUGUCUUUUUGGGAAAGAUAAAUGCCAUCUAGUGGUAGGAUGUGAUAACUUUUGGUAAAAUUACGUCACCAGUAUUUCCAAGAAUUCUGUUUGACAAAAUUCUUGCGCAAGCGGGAACGCAUUGCCGAAAACUUUAUUCAGUUAUUCAAAUUCCCGCUAUUUGAUACAUUUCCGUCCAAUCUGAUUGAGAGACCAUACAUUAUUCAUGGUCGGAUUGUGUGACCGACGAAAGUCGGCUUAGCUUAAGGGUUAACAAUCCAGUUUUUUUUUUAAGUUUUUUUAUUUGAGUUAUUUCUAGCCAAUAGACAAAUACCUCUGCCAAACAAUGCUCUUUUUGCUUGGCUUGAUUAGUUUAUCAAACAUGCAGCUGCGGAAUCCUUUUUUGGGUGAACCUUGGUAUUCAGGCCAAACACAAAUAGGACAAAAUACAAACAGAAAUCAAGCG